rnacentral:rRNA from 1 species
GACAGAGGUGCCGAGCGUUAGGCGGAAUCACUGGGCUUAAAGCGUGUGUAGGCGGCCCGUUAAGUGUCUUGUGAAAUCCCCCGGCUCAACCGGGGAACUGCUGGGCAUACUGGCGGGCUUGGGUCGCUCAGGGGCAGACGGAACAGGCGGUGGAGCGGUGAAAUGCGUAGAUAUCGCCUGGAACGCCGAAGGUGAAAACGGCUCAACUGGAC